CCGGACCGGCGCACGGGUGAGUAACGCGUAUGCAACUUACCUAUCAGAGGGGGAUAACCCGGCGAAAGUCGGACUAAUACCGCAUGAAGCAGGGGCCCCGCAUGGGGAUAUUUGCUAAAGAUUCAUCGCUGAUAGAUAGGCAUGCGUUCCAUUAGGCAGUUGGCGGGGUAACGGCCCACCAAACCGACGAUGGAUAGGGGUCCUGAGAGGAAGGUCCCCCACAUUGGUACUGAGACACGGACCAAACUCCUACGGAAGGCAGCAG
rnacentral:rRNA from 1 species